CAGGAAUUGUUUUCAUUUAUCCCAUGACCCGCGGUCAGCACGGAUACUUUUGGUCACUUUUCCAUUAUAAUUUUUCCGGAGGAUGUGACCGAGACCAAGAGGAAAUAGGGUAUCAUCGAGAAGCAUCGUCACAAGGAAAUUUGACCGGAGAUAGAAUGAUCGGCCGGUUACGGUGAAUCCGAUUCUUGGCUCGGAAAUGAAUGGCGAGAAACGAAUUUCUAUUGUGCGAUUUACGACAAUGAAAAAGGUGAAAUCCUGAUAGUCUGGAAUUCAUUCCGGUCGAAACAGGUUGCAGCUGUUCGGAAGUGUUAUAAUGCUGCAAAUGAUGUAACAAAAGAUAAUCUGCACAGUGUUCACCCAUUCGGCAGUCAUAGUAAUGGAAAAGAUUACGGAGGGACCGGCCGUGAAGGAAGCAAUGGAAGGAACAUUCCAGCGAAGAAAACGGUGAUCAGCUGCAUCAUAACGGAAAAUUUCACUUGCCCUGGGAAAGGAAGGUUGCGCUUAAAAUCGGGUUCAUGUUUUGGAAGUCUUCGCUGUGGCUGCGAGGAUACUAUUUAUUUUCUUUUGAGAUUUAAAAGAGACAGAAUUGAUUUGAGCCAGGCAUUUGCGAUGAUUGGACCGGGCUGAUUUUGAUAUUUGAAUGAGAAAACGGCAAUGGUUAAUGAUGGUGACAGCAG